rnacentral:rRNA from 1 species
UUACAAUGGCAGGUACAGAGGGGUGCUACCGGGUGACCGGAUGCCGAUCUCGAAAACCUGUCCCAGUUCGGACUGGAGUCUGCAACCCGACUCCACGAAGUUGGAUUCGCUAGUAAUCGCGCAUCAGCCAUGGCGCGGUGAAUACGUUCCCGGGCCUUGUACACACCGCCCGUCAAGCCAUGGGAGCCGGGGGCGCCUGAAGUCCGGGACCGCGAGGACCGGCCUAGGGCGAAACUGGUGACUGGGGCUAAGUCGUAACAAGGUAUC